GAUGAACGCUGGCGGCGUGCCUAAUACAUGCAAGUCGAGCGAACGGACGAGAAUCUUGCUUCUCUGAUGUUAGCGGCGGACGGGUGAGUAACACGUGGAUAACCUACCUAUAAGACUGGGAUAACUUCGGGAAACCGGAUCUAAUACCGGAUAAUAUUUUGAACCGCAUGGUUCAAAAGUGAAAGACGGUCUUGCUGUCACUAAUAGAUGGAUCCGCGCUGCAUUAGCUAGUUGGUAAGGUAACGGCUUACCAAGGCAACGAUGCAUAGCCGACCUGAGAGGGUGAUCGGCCACACUGGAACUGAGACACGGUCCAGACUCCUACGGGAGGCAGCAGUAGGGAAUCUUCCGCAAUGGGCGAAAGCCUGACGGAGCAACGCCGCGUGAGUGAUGAAGGUCUUCGGAUCGUAAAACUCUGUUAUUAGGGAAGAACAUAUGUGUAAGUAACUGUGCACAUCUUGACGGUACCUACUCAGAAAGCAACGGCUAACUACGUG
rnacentral:rRNA from 1 species